rnacentral:rRNA from 1 species
AGCUAAUAGAUACCCUGGUAGUCCCAGCAGUAAACGGUGCGCGUUUGGUGUGAGCAGGUUCGACCCUGUUCGCGCCGGAGCUAACGCGUUAAACGCGCCGCCUGGGAAGUACGAUCGCAAGAUUAAAACUCAAAGAAAUUGACGGGGGCCCGCACAAGCGGUGGAGUAUGUGGCUUAAUUCGAUGCAACGCGAAGAACCUUACCUGGGUUUGACAUGCAUCUCUAAGGCGGUGAAAGCUGCCGAGGGUAGCAAUACCCAAUUUGCACAGGUGCUGCAUGGCUGUCGUCAGCUCGUGUCGUGAGAUGUUGGGUUAAGUCCCGCAACGAGCGCAACCCUUGUAUGCUGUUGCCAUGAUUACUCAUGGCUCUCUGCGUAGACUGCCCCGUGAAACGGGGGAGGAAGGUGGGGAUGACGUCAAGUCAGCAUGGCCCUUACACCCAGGGCUGCACACGUACUACAAUGCCCAGUACAAUUCGAACCCGUCCGCGAGGGCUGGGAAAUCAGCGAAAACUGGGCUCAGUUC